GCCAGGCGAGGUGGCGCACGCCUGUAAUUCCAGCUACUUGGGAGGUUGAGGCAGGAGAAUUGCUUGAACCUGGGAGGCGGAGGUUGCAGUGAGCUGAGAUUGCGCCACUGCAAUCCAGCCUGGGUGACAGAGCAAGACUCUGUCUUUA
ensembl:misc_RNA Metazoa_SRP Metazoan signal recognition particle RNA